rnacentral:rRNA from 1 species
AGCAGCCGCGGUAAUUCCAGCUCCAAUAGCGUAUAUUAAAGUUGCUGCAGUUAAAAAGCUCGUAGUUGAAUUUCGGGACCAAUAUGUCGGUCGUGCCUCGGUACGUACUGGCAUCGUUGGUUUCUCCCUUCUGACGAACCAUGAUGUCAUUUAUUUGGUGUCGUGGGGAAUCAGGACUGUUACUUUAGAAAAAUUAGAGUGUUUAAAGCAGGCUCACGCUUGAAUACAUUAGCAUGGAAUAAUGAAAUAGGACGUUUGAUUCUAUUUUGUUGGUUUCUAGGAUCGACGUAAUGAUUAAUAGGGAUAGUUGGGGGCAUUAGUAUUCAAUUGUCAGAGGUGAAAUUCUUGGAUUUAUUGAAGACUAACUACUGCGAAAGCAUUUGCCAAGGAUGUUUUCAUUAAUCAAGAACGAAAGUUAGGGGAUCGAAGACGAUCAGAUACCGUCGUAGUCUUAACCAUAAACUAUGCCGACUAGGGA